CAGAGAAGAAAACCGAGUAUGAAGGAAAUUGCUAAUUGGCCCAAGAUCACUAAGAAAGAAACCAAUUCAUCUACUUCCAGGGUCGCUUACUAAACCAAGAGCUCACUGAUUCAGCUAGCCUAUCUGGCCAGCAAAGCCCAGGAUCCUCCUCUCUCUGCCUGCCCAGUGCUGGGAUUACAGGACACCAGGUCAGCCAGGAAAGAAAGCCCUUGCUACAGCAAAGCCUCAGAGUCAGAAGGAGCUGGCUAUAGGCAAGGGAAGGCGGUACCCAGAUGCACACAGGGCAGGGAAGGCGAUGCCCAGAUGCACACAGGGCUACAUGCUUGUAAUACCUGCCCUUUGACGGUGGAGG